UAGUUGAGAAAACUGAGCUUGAGAGAAGUUUAGCAGCUUGUUCGUACUGGGGCAGAGCAAUGCAUCUCUGGCAAUGCUCCAAGAUUGUAAACUACGUAUGAGUUGCUGAUCUUCCUCAGUGGAAGGAGUUUCAACAUGAGGAAAUUCCCUACAACUGUGAAAUAAGAGGUUCUCAUGGGACAGCCUCCUGCUUGAUCUUCUUUUCUUCAGUCUACUCUUGUUCCAGACAUCUUCCAAGUGGCAUAUCUAUGCUCCAGAACCUUCAUUGACUCCCUAUUGCCUUCUCAGUGGGAUGGUACUGGAUCUGUGAUUUCAUUGGUAUGGAAACUCUUGAUGAAGAAGCUUCUUCUGUUGAGGAAUAUUGGUAUGUUCUCUGCAUUUUAUACUAAGUGAAGUGAUCUACGGUCAAACACAGCUGGUAUGUGUGAGAUAUAGAACUUUGACCCAGCUCUGAGGACUACUCUAUGUUGAUUGCCUCAAUCUGCUGCUGAAUAAAGCAUACAUUUCUGACCCUGCCAUUCAAGACCCUUUGUAAUCUGGUUUCAAUCUACCUCUCAAAUCGAGGGAGCUGGUGGCAUAGUGAAUC